rnacentral:rRNA from 1 species
AGAAUCAACGCUGGCGGCGUGCCUAACACAUGCAAGUCGAACGAGAAAGUGGAGCAAUCCAUGAGUAAAGUGGCGCACGGGUGAGUAACACGUGACUAACCUACCCUUGAGUGGGGAAUAACCUAGGGAAACCUGGGCUAAUACCGCAUAACACCUACGGGUCAAAGGAGCAAUUCGCUUAAGGAGGGGGUCGCGGCAGAUUAGCUAGUUGGCGGGGUAAUGGCCCACCAAGGCAGUGAUCUGUAUCCGGCCUGAGAGGGCGCACGGACACACUGGAACUGAAACACGGUCCAGACUCCUACGGGAGGCAGCAGUGGGAAUUUUGCGCAAUGGGGGAAACCCUGACGCAGCAACGCCGCGUGGAGGAUGAAGUCCCUUGGGACGUAAACUCCUUUCGACCGGGAAGAUUAUGACGGUACCGGAAGAAGAAGCCCGGCUAACUUCGUGCCAGCAGCCGC